UGAGCCUGUCUCAGAACAAACAAACAAACAAACAAAAAUAAGAAAAAAAUACAUAGUUUUAAAACAGUUUUAAACACAUUUGGGAAAAUAUAGGCAGUAGAAAUAGCAGUUGUGCUGUUAAUGCCUCAGACAGGGCUGGGCUCGUAGUAGGUGCUCAAUAAAUAUGUAUUAAGUAAGUGAAUAAGGAAGAAAAUCCCAUGGCUCUGCCAACAAGAAACACUUCUGUCAACAUUUCACUGUGUUUGUUUUCCUGAGUAUUUUUUCCUCUACAUAAUUUAGCUUUGUUUUCCAUUCAUUAUGCUCACCCGUGCAGACACAGUUUUUAAUCUUGUUUCUUUUUUUUCACUUCACGUUGUUGACAUGUGUGUUUCUCUCUUCUAAGCAGCGUUUCAGCAUCUCUAUAAAACCCUCACAGGUGAUCCCUAGAAACACAGCCAGUGGCCCGGAAGCUGCACUGUUUUGUGCACCGCAGGGAUGGGCACAGAUGGGGCUGCCUGCCCUCCUCCUGGAAGGAGGGAGAACCCAGUCUGGCCUGGAGUGGUCAAGAGCUAACUCUAGACUCAGCAAGACCUACUUCUCUCUCCUGCCCCUACUUCCUUGCUGCUGACCUGGGCAAGUCGCUGAAGCCUCUCCGUGCCUCAGUCUGCUCGUGCGUAAGAUGGGCACAGGGCACACUGCCUACUUGAUUGGGCUCAACCACGUGCAGUAAGUAGCUGGUGUCUGGCAAGAGCCCUCAGGAAACAGUAACCCCAUUAAUUCAAAUGCACGUGCCUGGAACAGGCUCUGGGGGGCCAGCCCGGGAGUCCCACUCCAUGAUGGCCACCCUGGGGCCUGGCAGGCUGGGCUGGCAUCCCAGGCCCACCGGAUACUGGCUGUGCACCCCGGCCAGGCCACACAUCUCUGAGCCUCACUUUCCCGUGUGUGAGAUGAGGCUAGAAGCUGCUUUCUCUUGCGUGUGUGGGGAUUGGCGGUGACAACACGGCCAGGAGCCCAGGCCCAGCCUACGCGAGCAGCCUCGCUCCAGGCCACACGCCCCACUCCUGACAGCUCUGUGCAGCGAGUUCGUGCGCGAGCGGGUGGCUGUCUGCCAGGCGAGGGGCGCGGGUGCCCAAGAGGGCUUCACUGCUUCUGGAAAGAUCACAAGGAAAAACCACCUCCGCGGCGGGACGCUACCCGCGGGCCGCUGCGGUCCCGCUCGCGGCCGGCAGGGGGCAGGAUGUCCCCGCGAGUCGCCCGUGUCUUCGGGUGUCCUCAGGUCACCCCGCACCGCUCGCAGCCUCCGCGCCUAGUUAAAGGGCGACGCACUCAUUUCUGCAAAGAAGGAGCCCAGCGGCCCCUCCCCGGGGAACUCUUUCCAUCAACUCGGGGCCUAAUAAUUUACAUUUAAUUUGUUAGCGGUUUAAUGUUUAAUUUUAAAAGCGAGAUGAUUCAUUACCAUAUUAAUAAAUAAUAACAUUUAUUAUUCUCCUAA
rnacentral:lncRNA from 1 species